rnacentral:lncRNA from 1 species
GGCGGGAGCGCCGGCGACUGGGUCUUCGAGUCGCUCGGGCUGCCCGGCGCGAACGCUGCCGGAAAUGGCGCACCGGCGGCCUCCCACGGCCUGCCCUGAGCCCCCGCGCCGGGAGGUGCAACCCCUCGCCACAAGUCUCGAUGGUCUUUGGAAGCGGCAGCAAUGCCUUCCAAGAGAGUGCUGUGCAGCCUGUCGAGUGCAGCUUGACAACCACCAGACACGCAGGGAAGGAUGACAGACUUAUCUGCUGAUUCAGGAAGAAGCAAAGGGCUUCCAAGAUGGCAGACAGCAUGUUGAAAGACACGUGCUGAGCAAAGGACGCAAACAGAAUGGUGAAAGAGAGAUUAGAGUAAGGGAGAACGGGG